GUCUCUCUCACUGAAGUGCAGACAGAGAACUCGAAUUUAAAACUGAGUUUCUGUAAAGAAGUGCAUCCUGGUUUUCUGUCUCGGACCUGUGUCAAGUCUGGAUGAUGUUGGGGUCCAGGAGAAAGAACACGAUUAACAAGAGGUUCAGCAUGCUACGCGUGGUUCUGCUUAAAGUCAAUCUGUGGAAAAGCGAUGGCAGAGUGUCUCAAACAUCUAACGCAUUAGAGUCUACUCACUUGACCCACUCAUUACUCCUGUCCCCUCUUUCUGCACUUCUAAAGACUUCUGAUUUACUUGCUGUGAUCGAGCGGAUGCAGAACAGCAGAAUGGAUGAGCAGAGAUGCACACUUCCACCUCCUCUUAAAGUAAGUUUGGUUGUGUAAAUCGAUAAAGUAUACAGCCAAAAGUGUGUGGACACCUGACCAUCA
ensembl:lncRNA